CAGUUCAUAUUUGACAUAUCCAUUUAAUCCCUGUCCAUGACACUUUUUGAGGUGCUACACGAAGAGGAAUUUGCGCCAGUGAAGAACGUGAAUGGCACAACCUAUGACACCUGAUGCUACUCCAACUGCAUAGCGGAUGGGUAAUUUCUCACCAUUUCCUGUACCCAGAAACUUGUAGAAUUAAAUUACAAGUCAGGCCUUUCAACAUAGAACUUUUAUGAUCAUCUUUCUCA